rnacentral:rRNA from 1 species
UACGUAGGGACCAAGCGUUGUUCGGAUUUACUGGACGUAAAGGGCGCGUAGGCGGCAAUUCAAGUCAUCUGUGAAAUCUCCGGGCUUAACCCGGAACGGUCAGAUGAUACUGCUUUGCUAGAGUGCGGAAGGGGCAAUCGGAAUUCUCGGUGUAGCGGUGAAAUGCGUAGAUAUCGAGAGGAACACCUGAGGUGAAGACGGGUUGCUGGGCCGACACUGACGCUGACAGCGCGAAAGCCAGGGGAGCAAACGGG